rnacentral:rRNA from 1 species
CAGUAGCCGCGGUAAUACGUAGGUGGCAAGCGUUGUCCGGAAUUAUUGGGCGUAAAGCGCGCGCAGGCGGAUAGGUCAGUCUGCCUUAAAAGUUCGGGGCUUAACCCCGUGGUGAGAUGGAAACUGCCAAUCUAGAGUAUCGGAGAGGAAAGUGGAAUUCCUAGUGUAGCGGUGAAAUGCGUAGAUAUUAGGAAGAACACCAGUGGCGAAGGCGACUUUCUGGACGAAAACUGACGCUGAGGCGUGAAAGCCAGGGGAGCGAACGGGAUUAGAUACCCCAGUAGUCCCUGUCUCUUAUACA